rnacentral:rRNA from 1 species
GGGUUGUGAGGUUAAGCGACUAAGCGUACACGGUGGAUGCCCUGGCAGUCAGAGGCGAUGAAGGACGUGCUAAUCUGCGAUAAGCGUCGGUAAGGUGAUAUGAACCGUUAUAACCGGCGAUUUCCGAAUGGGGAAACCCAGUGUGUUUCGACACACUAUCAUUAACUGAAUCCAUAGGUUAAUGAGGCGAACCGGGGGAACUGAAACAUCUAAGUACCCCGAGGAAAAGAAAUCAACCGAGAUUCCCCCAGUAGCGGCGAGCGAACGGGGAGCAGCCCAGAGCCUGAAUCAGUGUGUGUGUUAGUGGAAGCGUCUGGAAAGGCGCGCGAUACAGGGUGACAGCCCCGUACACAAAAAUGCACAUACUGUGAGCUCGAUGAGUAGGGCGGGACACGUGGUAUCCUGUCUGAAUAUGGGGGGACCAUCCUCCAAGGCUAAAUACUCCUGACUGACCGAUAGUGAACCAGUACCGUGAGGGAAAGGCGAAAAGAACCCCGGCGAGGGGAGUGAAAAAGAACCUGAAACCGUGUACGUACAAGCAGUGGGAGCACGCUUAGGCGUGUGACUGCGUACCUUUUGUAUAAUGGGUCAGCGACUUAUAUUCUGUAGCAAGGUUAACCGAAUAGGGGAGCCGAAGGGAAACCGAGUCUUAACUGGGCGUUAAGUUGCAGGGUAUAGACCCGAAACCCGGUGAUCUAGCCAUGGGCAGGUUGAAGGUUGGGUAACACUAACUGGAGGACCGAACCGACUAAUGUUGAAAAAUUAGCGGAUGACUUGUGGCUGGGGGUGAAAGGCCAAUCAAACCGGGAGAUAGCUGGUUCUCCCCGAAAGCUAUUUAGGUAGCGCCUCGUGAAUUCAUCUCCGGGGGUAGAGCACUGUUUCGGCAAGGGGGUCAUCCCGACUUACCAACCCGAUGCAAACUGCGAAUACCGGAGAAUGUUAUCACGGGAGACACACGGCGGGUGCUAACGUCCGUCGUGAAGAGGGAAACAACCCAGACCGCCAGCUAAGGUCCCAAAGUCAUGGUUAAGUGGGAAACGAUGUGGGAAGGCCCAGACAGCCAGGAUGUUGGCUUAGAAGCAGCCAUCAUUUAAAGAAAGCGUAAUAGCUCACUGGUCGAGUCGGCCUGCGCGGAAGAUGUAACGGGGCUAAACCAUGCACCGAAGCUGCGGCAGCGACGCUUAUGCGUUGUUGGGUAGGGGAGCGUUCUGUAAGCCUGCGAAGGUGUGCUGUGAGGCAUGCUGGAGGUAUCAGAAGUGCGAAUGCUGACAUAAGUAACGAUAAAGCGGGUGAAAAGCCCGCUCGCCGGAAGACCAAGGGUUCCUGUCCAACGUUAAUCGGGGCAGGGUGAGUCGACCCCUAAGGCGAGGCCGAAAGGCGUAGUCGAUGGGAAACAGGUUAAUAUUCCUGUACUUGGUGUUACUGCGAAGGGGGGACGGAGAAGGCUAUGUUGGCCGGGCGACGGUUGUCCCGGUUUAAGCGUGUAGGCUGGUUUUCCAGGCAAAUCCGGAAAAUCAAGGCUGAGGCGUGAUGACGAGGCACUACGGUGCUGAAGCAACAAAUGCCCUGCUUCCAGGAAAAGCCUCUAAGCAUCAGGUAACAUCAAAUCGUACCCCAAACCGACACAGGUGGUCAGGUAGAGAAUACCAAGGCGCUUGAGAGAACUCGGGUGAAGGAACUAGGCAAAAUGGUGCCGUAACUUCGGGAGAAGGCACGCUGAUAUGUAGGUGAAGUCCCUCGCGGAUGGAGCUGAAAUCAGUCGAAGAUACCAGCUGGCUGCAACUGUUUAUUAAAAACACAGCACUGUGCAAACACGAAAGUGGACGUAUACGGUGUGACGCCUGCCCGGUGCCGGAAGGUUAAUUGAUGGGGUCAGCGCAAGCGAAGCUCUUGAUCGAAGCCCCGGUAAACGGCGGCCGUAACUAUAACGGUCCUAAGGUAGCGAAAUUCCUUGUCGGGUAAGUUCCGACCUGCACGAAUGGCGUAAUGAUGGCCAGGCUGUCUCCACCCGAGACUCAGUGAAAUUGAACUCGCUGUGAAGAUGCAGUGUACCCGCGGCAAGACGGAAAGACCCCGUGAACCUUUACUAUAGCUUGACACUGAACAUUGAGCCUUGAUGUGUAGGAUAGGUGGGAGGCUUGGAAGUGUGGACGCCAGUCUGCAUGGAGCCGACCUUGAAAUACCACCCUUUAAUGUUUGAUGUUCUAACGUUGACCCGUAAUCCGGGUUGCGGACAGUGUCUGGUGGGUAGUUUGACUGGGGCGGUCUCCUCCUAAAGAGUAACGGAGGAGCACGAAGGUUGGCUAAUCCUGGUCGGACAUCAGGAGGUUAGUGCAAUGGCAUAAGCCAGCUUGACUGCGAGCGUGACGGCGCGAGCAGGUGCGAAAGCAGGUCAUAGUGAUCCGGUGGUUCUGAAUGGAAGGGCCAUCGCUCAACGGAUAAAAGGUACUCCGGGGAUAACAGGCUGAUACCGCCCAAGAGUUCAUAUCGACGGCGGUGUUUGGCACCUCGAUGUCGGCUCAUCACAUCCUGGGGCUGAAGUAGGUCCCAAGGGUAUGGCUGUUCGCCAUUUAAAGUGGUACGCGAGCUGGGUUUAGAACGUCGUGAGACAGUUCGGUCCCUAUCUGCCGUGGGCGCUGGAGAACUGAGGGGGGCUGCUCCUAGUACGAGAGGACCGGAGUGGACGCAUCACUGGUGUUCGGGUUGUCAUGCCAAUGGCACUGCCCGGUAGCUAAAUGCGGAAGAGAUAAGUGCUGAAAGCAUCUAAGCACGAAACUUGCCCCGAGAUGAGUUCUCCCUGACUCCUUGAGAGUCCUGAAGGAACGUUGAAGACGACGACGUUGAUAGGCCGGGUGUGUAAGCGCAGCGAUGCGUUGAGCUAACCGGUACUAAUGAACCGUGAGGCUUAACCUUACAACGCCGAAGGUGUUU